GCAGUGAAUUGGUGGCGGCAGGUGUAAGUAAUUGCUGAGAUUUGGGUUUGGGGAGUGGGCUCACGAGUGUUUAUGACAUUAUUAUAAAUGAAUAUAUGAGUGCAUAAAUUAGCAAAAUAAAAGGGGGCUUUUCUGGACCAAUGAUGAGACAGUGUUUAUGAACAAAAGAUCAUGAUUAAUCCAGUUCUGCACAAAACACUGAGGUCCAUUAGAAGACAAUAGGUCUUGGCUGUUUCAUUCCUUUUAAGAGCUGUUUAAUAUUCCACGGAGCCCUGGGCUCCCCCAGUGUUGCCUGGGUCUGACUUUGCCUCAGUGAAAACUGCCUCGAAUUCUUUCUUGCACCGAUGGGCAGAUGGGCAGUGUCGGAGGAUCGUGUCAUCUGUCCCGUGGCGCUGGUUGGCUUGGUCAAGUCAGUGUUCAAACUAUCUCCUGCUCUUUCAAGGGGAUCUGGGGCUCUAGAAGAUUAGAGGACUUGGAGAGGUUAGUGACUUGCUCGAGGUCGGCUAGGAAGCAAGACCCAGGAUUCCAACUCAGGUCUGUGUGAUUCCUCUGCAAAAUGGAGAGGUGGAAGGAUGGAUGUCAGGUCUGAUGGAUGGAUGGAUGCCUACAUCAAGAUACAUGCAUAGAUGGAGAGAUGGCUGGCUACCUCAUGAAUGCUGGACUGUUGUGAGAAUCAAACGAGAUAAUGUAUGCUGAGGCAUGCUGUGAACACUACGUGCUGGGUACAGGAGAAUGGAGGCUCCAGAGUGAAAUUAAUGACACUUUGUCGAUGAAGAUCUUGAUUGUGACCUCUGUGGAAAAUGAGCCAUGAACCAACCAAUAAUGAAAACCAUGUAGCUGGUCUUAUUAUUCUCUAAUCAUGAAGACCAUUAUUGUUAUUUGUGGACUAAGGAGCAGAAAGACUGAUAGUGGACAUAGGCCAGCUGAUUUAAUAAUUUAAGAAAGAACUGUUAUCCUGAGUAAGGAGCAUAGAGACAAAUAUAAAAUGAAGACCAUGGUUGAUUUAAUCAGUCUCUGCUGAUGAAGAUCUUGGCUGUUACCUUUGUGUGUAAGGAAGCUAAAGACUUAAGUAAAUAACAGUCCAAAAACUUGUCAAUUAGGAAUGAAUGCGCAAUGAUUCAAUUAUUCUCCAGCGAGGAAGAUCAUGGUUGUUGUCUGUUUGAGUAAUGAGUGUAGAAACCUAUAAUGGAGGCGUGAUGGCUGAUGCAAUCAUUUUCCACUGAUGAAGGUUUUGAUGGCCACCUGUAAUGAACAGCCCCAUCUGAUUUAAUCACUGUGCAAUGACCGUGAACUGUACAGUUACCUCCGUGUGUCACAGGAAGACUCUUUUGACUUAAGCACCCUUCCAUGGUCAUGAGGUUUCUGGUUGCCUCUGUGUGUUAGAAGCUUGGAGACCAAUGCCUUCUGCUGUGAUCGCGUUCUCCACAGUUGCCUCUGGGUAGGAGCCUGGACACUAAUAGAAAAUGGAUGCACUUGAGCCGACCUAAGCAUUCAUGGUCAUGAGAUUUGUGGUUGCCACUGUUGGUUAGGAGCAUAGAGAUCAGUAAUGGACACACCUGGGCUGGCAGAACAUCUUGCCUUGAUCUGGAGCCCCAUGUCUGCCCCUCUGUAGAGGUGCACAUGGGCCAAUGAUGGAUGCAAUGAGCUGAUCAUUUUGCUGUGAUCAAGGCUAUGUUGCCUCUGUGUUAGGCCAAUGGUUGAUGUUCAUGGGUGAUUGAUCAUCCUGUAGCGACGGUGGUAUUGACUGUUCCCCAGAGGACAAGGAGUGUGUUCUUAUAAUGGACAUCAUGAUUGGGAUUGUCUUUAUUAAACUUUGUCAGGAGAGUAAAGAUCAAUGUGGCCACAUGUUGUGGCUCAUGCCUGUAAUCCCAACACUGUAAUCCCAGCACUGUAAUCCCAGCCUGUAAUCCCAGGCUGAGGUGGGCGGAUCACCUGAGGUUGGGAGUUCGAGACCAGCCUGACCAACAUGGAGAAACCCCGUCUCUACUAAAAAUACAAAAUUAGCCGGGCAUGGUGGCGCAUGUCUUUAAUUCCAGCUACUCAGGAGGCUGAGGCAGGAGAAACGCUUGAACCCGAGAGGCGGAGGUUGCAGUGAGCUGAGAUUGCGCCAUUGCACUCCAGCCUGGGCAACAAGAGUGAAACUCCAUCUCAAAAGAAAAAAAAAAGAAAACAAAACAAAAAAAGAAAAAACCAAUGUUCCAAUAGUUUCCCAAAUCAUGCUGAUGCUGCCUCCUGAGAAAUAUUUUCAGAAUCACUGAGAAAAAUGUAUGAAAUAGUUAAUGUCCUUGCUCUGUGUCAGUGGUGGAGGCUGUCUGCAGUAGGAGCAUGGAGACCAACAAUGGAUGCUCUUAAACUGAUUUAAGCACGCUUCCAUGGUCAGAAGCCUUAUGGUUGCCACAGGGUAUUAGGAGCAUGGAGACCAAU
rnacentral:lncRNA from 1 species